AGAACUGCAGAUAGUACAGCUUCCACAGGAGCAAGGGAUGUCUGAGCACAAGUGGCUGAGUUCCGAGUGACUUUAUGAAGCACUUUCUACCUUCCUCUCCGGCAUGAAAACAGGGAUUCUGCACCUGCAUCAUGGACAGUCUGGCAAAAGCCUCUGCUCUGCCUCCGGGGACAAGAAACUAGAGCAAAUAACCGUUUUGAAAUUAGAUCCUGGCAAAAUUACCAACAAUCAAUGAUGGAAACUGAAGGGAGAUUGAUUUAAAUCUUCAAUGACAGUUGUACAGAAGUUGAAGAAACACGUCAUCUUUCCAAAGAAGAGUGAGUAGCUUGGUUGGUGGUACCCUAAAAUUAGGGCAUGAUUAAGGUCUCGCUCUGCCACCCAGGCUAGGAGUGCAGUAGAGUGACUACAGUUCACAGCAGACUCAACCUUCCAGGCUCAAGCAAUCCUCUCACCUCGGCCUCCCAAGUACCUGGGACUACAGGCACACUCCACCAUUCCCAGCUAAUUUUUGUAUUUUUUGUAGAGACAUGGUUUUGACAUAUUGUCCAGGCUGGUCUUUUACUGUCAAAUUGCUAUAUUUUAUUGCUUUUGUUUUUGAAUAUUUUUGAUCCAUGAUUGAGUCCAUGAACAUGGAACCUGUGGACAUGGAGGCCCAACAAUAGUACUUAAUGUCUUUCUAACACAGCUACCUUAUGAACUCUGGAAAAAAUUGUAUGCCAGCCAAAGCAGUGGAACAACCAUAUUCUACUCACUGGAUUGUCCUCAACUGUUCAACAAUACCUCCCAAACUUGUUCCUGACUUCCGCCCAACAUGCAAUGACUCCAUUCUCAUUGUGCUCUUACCUGUUUCACUUAGUUGGAUUAUUUCUGUUCAAAAAUAUGUUUGAUUUUUAAAACUCAGGCUUUCACAGCUUUUAAAAGUUGUAUAAACCACUGUAUUUGUUUGAUA
rnacentral:lncRNA from 1 species